AAUUAGUUAAGUUUGUAGAAUAAGUUUUAUAUGAAGAUCAAUUAUUAAGCUUAUAAAUAUUGGCAGUGUUUUAUUAAAUUCUGAGAAUCUUGCAUAAUUAAAGUGAUAUUACACAGUUUAUCUUUUCUUAAUUUUAUGGUUUAUGUAUUGCUGUUAAAUUUAUUUGUUAAUAGUAAUAAGUUGGAUUAAUUUUGUUAAGGAGUUCAAGUCAAAAUGUAGUUUUAUUAAGGUUUGUGUGAGUUGCUUUUUUUAAGAGUAAAGUUUAUAAAUGAGGUUGAAAAACUUUAUUAAAGUAGGAUUAGGGUGUAAAAAAAAAUUAUUUUGUUUUUUUGAUAUAUUUAUGUGAUCAUGU
rnacentral:rRNA from 1 species